UUUAAAGGGUCCGUAGGCGGGCCUGUAAGUCAGGGGUGAAAGUCUGUGGCUCAACCAUAGAAUUGCCUUUGAUACUGCAGGUCUUGAGUCGUUGUGGGGUUGCCGGAACAUGUGGUGUAGCGGUGAAAUGCAUAGAUACCAUAAAGAACACCUAUUGCGAAGGCAGCUAACUGGACUUGAAUUGACACUGAGGUACGAAAGCGUGGGGAGCGAACAGG
rnacentral:rRNA from 1 species